AUUGAACGCUGGCGGCAGGCCUAACACAUGCAAGUCGAACGAGUGGCGGACGGGUGAGUAAUGUCUGGGAAACUGCCCGAUGUAGGGGGAUAACUACUGGAAACGGUAGCUAAUACCGCAUACCAUCGGAUGUGCCCAGAUGGGAUUAGCUUGUAGGUGUGGUAACGGCUCACCAAGGCGACGCUCCCUAGCUGGUGUGAGAGGAUGACUAGCCACACGGGAACUGAGACACGGUCCGGACUCCUACGGGAGGCAGCAGUGGGGAAUAUUGAACAAGGGGCGCAAGCCUGAGGCAGCCAUGCCGCGUGUAUGAAGAAGGCCUUCGGGUUGUAAAGUACUGUCAGCGGGGAGGCGUUACCCGCAGAAGAAGCACCGGCUAACUCCGUGCCAGCAGCAGCGGUAAUAC
rnacentral:rRNA from 1 species